rnacentral:lncRNA from 1 species
AUAACUAAAACUUAUACACAACAAAUUAUAAAAAAAUAAACAACACUGAACAAAAGCACCAAUGUGACAUAGUAAAGUAAAAAUAGACAUUGUAAAAUAAUAGUUUAAAAGGUUUACAAAACCUUAUCUUUAUUAGAUAUUUCUUUUACAAGUUAGCAUAUUUAUUGCAAUAAUGUGUAUGAUGGACAGCAGAUAAAAAUGUUGACACAAAAGAACAGAACCAGAUGCUCCACAGGGCGCAGCUUUAUACGACUGCAGAGGUCGAACCCUGAAUGGUUGGGGCAAGUAUGGACACAACAUUCAAGCUGGAUACAGCUCUGCAUUUGGAUUGUGAUUAAAUAGUUGACACAGCUUAGGUUUCUGACACAGAAUGAAUGUGGACUAAUGAGCUUAAAUUUUUUUUUCUGAAAUCUGAAAUGAGAAAAAAAAAUGACCCCCACCCCAAUUUUUUUUUCACUUCCCCCUUUACCUUAUUCCAAAAAAGAUCUCAAUUCAAAUUUCUAAUGGAGUUUGCAACAAAAACUACUCAUUUAAAUACAUCAUAAAAUAUUAAAAUAUAAAAUGUCAUACAGUCAUGGUUAAAAUUAAUACUAAUUAAUAGUAUCUUCUAAAAAAAUAAAUGGGGAAUGGAGAAUGUGUCCAAAAGGACACAUGUUAUGCCCCCGCUAGCAUAUAACGUUAUAAAGGGACAUAACUCAAGAACUGUAAAAGUGAAGAUGCCAAAAAUUGAACUUAAACUGAGUUUAGAGGCAAUAAGCAUUAUAUACACAUUUCCUUAAAAUUAGUUGAGACAAACUUAAGUUAAGAGAACAGAAACUAAAAAAAUCUUUAAUUUUUCCACUUGUAAAGGGACAUAACCCUAGAAUGGUAAUCAAAGUGCUUGUAAUCACUGAAUGGUAAAGAUUGCUUUAAUUUAUCAGUUGGUAGUAAAGUGAAUAUUGCAUUGUAUAUUGUACAUAGCAUUGAUUUAAGUUGAUUCAACUUCUAUUCUGGACAAAGAAAGAUAACUCCAAUUUUCAAAGAAGAUUAUAUAAAGCAUCGGUUUUAGGUGAUUCAACAACCAUUCUGGACAAAGAAAGAUAGCUCCAAUUUAUUGACUUGAAACUACAAAAAUGCUUGUUUUUGGCCCCUUUUUGGCCCUUUAUUCCUAGACUGUUUGCCCCAUAGCCUUAAAAUAUAUCUCAACAUUCUACUUAUGGUAUUAAACAUUGUGGUACAAUUUCAGAACAAUUGAAAAACUUAUACACAACUUAUUGUUCUGACACUAGAUAAAUGCUAUUUUUGGGCCCUUUGCGCCUCUAAUUCCUAAACCUUGGGGACCAUAACCCCUAAAAUCAAUCUCAAGCUUCCUUUUGUGGUUAUUGAUUUCUGUUUACUUAUACUAAAGUUAUUAUCCGGAAGCCAUUUGUCUUAAGACGACGCUGAUGACGAUGUGAUACCAAUGCACCAAUACAAAUGCAAAACUUUUUGCGGUGGUAUAAAAGGUGGAAGAAAGUAUUAAAGAAUUUUUCAUAUAAAAAAUUUUCAAAAGUUUUAGUAAGAAAAAUCUCAUGGAACAUAAUAGAUAAUAACCAAAAGGGACUGUUUUUUUAUUGCUAUUUUUUUCAUUUUUGAAACCAUAAGGACCUUGAACGAUAAAAUGAAUAAAUUACAUCCUUCAGAAAGAUAAAAGGUGGUAUUGUUUCGACAACAUUUACACAUAAAUCAUUUAAACAUAAUGAAAUGAAAAAUAUAUGAACUAUAACAUUGGUUUUUAUUAUGCAUCUUUGCUUUGCCCUUUUACAAGAAACAAUAAGGAUGAAAUUCAAACUAUAGAUAAAAAUCUCUUUCUUCUUCAAAUCAAAAAUAAGUAUAUAUGAACACACAAGGUUUUGUAGACUUUAUAUAAAACUGAAACUGACACUGAAGUAAAUAUUCCACCAGGAAACUGAUAAAUCAUGCAUGAAAAUUGCUUUAAAUUCUUUUUCUAAAGUAGUAUUUACAUCUGAACUUGACCUUUUAUUGAAUUUUGUAUAGAUUUGUAGUUGGAAUUUUAAAAUGUUUAUUUAUUAAGUAGCUUAAAUCAGAGACAUUCAUUCUAUGCUUUAAACAAAUUAUUGUAAAUUUCAAUGUGUCUUUUUAACAGCUCUUUAAAAGAUGGUUUAUCACAAAUAAUAUGUAAAUUGUGCUUAAAAUAUUUUUUUUAGGGUUUUGAACUAAUUUGAUAAGUUAUAAUCGUCCUUAUAUUUCAAACAGCAUCUAUGUAUUAAAAAAUGACAAGAUUGCGACUAAAAAUUGAACACUUUGGAUAUUCAUAAAAUUCAAUAAAGGAUUAUAGGUAAUUACUUUGUUCAAACCCAUAAUGAAAAUAAGUGUACAUUGACAUCAUUGACUGUGUUGAGUUAACACUUGAGGAUGUUGUUAGCAAAAAACACCAUUUCUAUGUCUGCUUUGAAUUUUUCUAAGAAUGCAAUUUGUCCUGAAAUUGUUAAUUCAACAAUGAAUUAUAUCAUUUGGUGUUGUUUAUAUUCAGAAGAAAAACAGAAGAUGCAGUACGGAAGCAUGGUGAAUGGAAGUAGUAUUCCCUUUUCAGACAUUUGGAACGAUUUGGAUACAUGACAAAAAAGAUUUUGAUUUAAAUAAAAUUUAUCACUGGGACAUGAGACAGACUUUUUCAAUUUAAAAUUCAGAUAUGGUUGUACACAAUGUUGUAUGGGAACAUUAUACAAUUCUUAAAAAUAGGAAACAUAUAUGGUAAAAUUUUGUCAAGAAAGUUUGUCAUUUAAACCAUAAGCAACACUUCUGUGCGUCUGUACAUCUUAAAUGAAAAAGGAUAUAAUUAUAGUGAUAAAAACAUCAAUCUAAUUAAAACCAAUAGUCUACACUUGCUCAUUUUUUAUGCCUAGUUGCUGAAAGGAAAAAAUGAGCUAGACUAGCCUAGUACAGAGAUUACAUUUUAAUUAGAUUGUAAAAACAUAAACAAAUAUUUGAUUUAAAAAAUGAAUUAAUAAAAAUAAAAAUAAUCAUAAACAACAUACUUAAACUAUAUGGUCAUAAAAUAGCACCAUUGUACAGUUUUAGUACAAAACUUAAUUAGUAAACAGUAACAAAUAAAAAUAAAAACAUGGUUUUUUUGUAAGGUUUAUAUGACACCAACUGUAGGCACUUAUAUACUAGGGUGCGUUUGAAACAAAAUGAUACUGUUGUUAAAAAUGCUGGAAUUUUGAAAUCAAUAAAACAAUUUUCUGUACAUGUAUAGUGAGUAUUAGAGAACAAGCAAUGUCAGAAUAGAAGUAAUAUAAAAAAUGUGGUGCAAUUCUAAUUGCUGUUUUAAAAAUUAAAUGAAAAAAAAGUAAUCAAGAUGUUUGCAGUGUAAUUCUGUUCAAAAUGCCUUCCACUGUUAAUAUAUAUGUUUAGAAGAUACACGUAGCAUGUGUAUGAAUAGAUUCAAUAAUGAAACAUAGUUACAAAAAAUAUACAAGAAAAUUGAUCCUUGGAAUAGGUAGAGUAUGAACAAGCAGACAAUUAUGUAAUGCUGAACAAAUGCUUGAAUCAUGAUGACCUUUGAAAUUACUAUCAAGGUUAUUUGUACUUCACAUAGUGAAAAUGAUGACUUAAACUUUUAUGGUACCCCCGCUUUACUCUUGUAUAAAUUUGCAUAAAUGGAUGACAUAAACUCAAAAAAUGCACAUUUUUAUUCGAUUGAACCAAAAUUUUAUGUUUUAUUUUUUAAUGUUUUACAUGAACAAUUGAUGACUAUUUGAAUUUAAAUCCCUUUCAUCAUUUACACUGGGUCUUCACGACCAUAGAAGAAAACAAAGGAGAGACCACUUAUUCAUGAAUUUUGUAGCGUUUUUUUUUAUCAUAGCGAAACAACAUGAUGCCUUUCUGCUUUUUUGGGAAUACCAAGGACUAAAAAUCUGGAGUUAUACAAGUAUUUAAUUGAAUGUUUAAAAUAUUCUUUUAAAUUUCCACACACUCAAUUAAGUGAUAGUGACCAACACACUUCAUUUAUUUGUCAAGAAAUUAAAGUGGUUAAAUUUAUUUAACCAUUAUAGAAAUUCAGAAUUUUACUUUUAGCUUUCAAUCAAAUUGUAAUGAAAUUUCAAUAAAAAAUGGUCAAACAGUUCUUCAUUUUCAUAAUCUUAAGUUUUAGAAAUACUUCAACAAGGGAAAUGUUGAUGAUCACUAUAUAUACCCCUAACCUUCUUAAACAUUGGUAUUAAAUUAUACUCUGGCUGAAACAAAUCAGCAGCUUGUAUGCUAACUUUGGAAAACAUAUUGCUAACAGUAUUGAUAAUAAUUAGCCCUAAUAGUGAUAAAAAGACCACAUAAUCAUGGAUAACAGAUACCAUUUAAAUGCACCAGAAAACAGCCAAAGGUGGAAAACCAUUAAUAAACUUAAGGAUGUACUUAGGUGAGGUUUUGAAUUUGUAUCAAAUGUUCAAACUCCUUAGUGUUUUUCCAUACAAUACAAUGUAAAAUAUUUUGCCCCAUAACACCCAUUUAUUUUUUUCAUACAAGACUUAAUAGCUCAUGAAAGGUCAUUAACCAAAAUUUAAGAAGAUUCUUGAUUUUCUUUCUUUUGUUUUGAGACCCAAAUUAUACCAAUGCAAAUAUAAGGUAAUAGUCCGAGUCAGCCUUUUCCCGCCAUAUUUUAAAUCUCAAAUAUCUCGAAAAGGAGGUCCAUGAACUAUCAAUGUUUUUAGCUUAUCUUUAUCCUUAAUUGAUGCUCUACCAGCUUAAAGUAUCAAUUUUAAUUUCUUAAUUUCCCUACUUUUUACCUUACCUCACCUAAAUACAUCCUUAAGCUUCAACUAUACACAUGAUACAAAAUCGACUCUAGAUCUACAGUUAUCCAGUUUUGGGUUAGUUUGAAUAUACAUCAAUUGUGACUCGCAGCAAAACUUUAAAGUUAUAGCAAAAUCUAAUCCACAAGUACAACCAUGAAAAUCAAGUCAUUUUUUACAUCGUGACUGAGCCAAGGCUCCGUGUUGAAGGCCGUACAUUGACCUGUAAUAGUUUACUUUUAUAAAUUUGUUAUUUGGAUGGCGAGUUGUCUCAUUGGCACUCACACCACAUCUUCCUAUAUCUACUGAUGAUUGCUUUCUAAAAACUAUAUACAUUAUAUAGUGAUGACAAGAUGAAAUAUACAGAUAGGUCAUCAUAGAAGAAAUAAAGUGGGCGUAGGAGCAAUGAAAAACGUGAGUUUGCAACCAAACAAUAAAUGGACUAGGUGGAAGAUGACAUUUUAUAAACAAAAACAUAAUUCUUCCAAGUUACAUUGUUUACGAUAAAUAACAUGGAUAAAAUAAAAUCUCAGGAUUUCAAAAUUACACAUAUUUUGCCACUAGAACAGAAAAAAUGUCAUUUUUA